CCUACGGGGGGCAGCAGUGGGGAAUAUUGCGCAAUGGGCGAAAGCCUGACGCAGCAACGCCGCGUGAGGGAUGAAGGUCUUCGGAUCGUAAACCUCUGUCAGCAGGGAAGAACGGUCACUGUGCUAAUCAGCAGUGAAUUGACGGUACCUGCAAAGGAAGCACCGGCUAACUCCGUGCCAGCAGCCGCGGUAAUACGGAGGGUGCGAGCGUUAAUCGGAAUUACUGGGCGUAAAGCGCUCGUAGGCGGUAUGUCAAGUCAAGGGUGAAAUCCCCGCGCUCAACGUGGGAACUGCCUUUGAAACUGGCAAACUGGAGUGUGUGAGAGGAGAGUGGAAUUCCAGGUGUAGGAGUGAAAGCCGUAGAUAUCUGGAGGAACAUCAGUGGCGAAGGCGACUAUCUGGCACAUAACUGACGCUGAGGAGCGAAAGCGUGGGUAGCAAACAGGAUUAGAUACCCUAGUAGUC
rnacentral:rRNA from 1 species